AUUUUCUAAACUUUAACUUUAGUUCAUACUUUAGUUUAGCCAUACUAAGUCAAUAAUACACAAGGUGAAAAGAUGUUAAAACUGUCAUUACUUGCUCAAAGACUGUGUUUUUAUUUUAGGGACAAACCCUGUGGCAUUUUCUACCCUACUGUUCACCACAGAGGUCCAAAUGAGCAUGGCAAAUGUAGAAGACUCAAGUUAUCUUUAUAAUAUUACAAUUGUAUGUCUCACAACAAUAUAACAUACAGUUAAAUACAUUGUCAUCUACUGUACCUAUAAAUUGUGCUGGGAAACAGUUGGUGUCUUGUGUUUUACCUAAAGGAUUAAAUAUGAUGAUUUUAUGAUGAUGAUUGGUAGUGGGACUGUUAAUAAUACUGCUGAAUACUGUCACUUGUACAUACUGUAUUUCUCUGUUUUAGAGAGAUGUCUUUCAUUUGCUUCAUACUUCAGAAGGUAAUAGUUUUUAGACAAUAAUACCUUUGCAUUGUUACUUUUCAGCUGCAUUUUUAUUUCUUUUUGAGGGAUUGCCAUUGCAGUAAAUCCACCCCAAAGAGGCUCAAAUACAGAAGACAGUGGUAUUCUUUUUGAGUAUUGUAUUGUAGUGCCAAAUAUCUCAAGAUAAUGUUUGAUGUACUGUAGGGUGGAGUUAAAACAGAAUAACCUGUUAUUUCUUUAUAAUUCUAGAAUUUACAUUCAUAAGACUUGAUUUUGUUAUGGAAUGACCCACUGUUGAAAUGCAGUUUCACUGUGAUUUAUGUCUUUUCUUUUACCUUUAGGGAGGAACUUUUCAACAGCCACAUCACAGCACAUCACUGAAUGCAUGAAGCCUAUUUUUCAUGAAAACGACAUGUAAAAGUUGAAGACAGAGAACUUACAGAUGUUGGCCUUAACCUGUGUCAUUCUGGACAGACGUCUAUUCCAGUCCUACCUACACCACACAAGACUUUUUUCUGCUUUUAUUUGGAUGGCUGUCUACUUAAAAGUUCUCUUUAAUUAGACGUAUGCAAAUAUAACUUGAACUUGAACUGCAAAAACAAAGAACUUGAUCCAGUUUUCGAGAAUCCCUUAAGUCAAAGGGA